rnacentral:lncRNA from 1 species
AGAUCUUCCAAGUCUCUUGUAUCGGCCCCCUUGUGAAUGUUACCAAAGGGCAAUUAUGAGUGCAAAUGCCAGUAAUAUAUUCAGAUCUUCCAAGUCUCUUGUAUCGGCCCCCUUGUGAAUGUUACCAAAGGGCAAUUAUGAGUGCAAAUGCCAGUAAUAUAUUCAGAUCUUCCAAGUCUCUUGUAUCGGCCCCCUUGUGAAUGUUACCAAAGGGCAAUUAUGAGUGGAAAUGCCAGUAAUAUAUUCAGAUCUUCCAAGUCUCUUGUAUCGGCCCCCUUGUGAAUGUUACCAAAGGGCAAUUAUGAGUGCAAAUGCCAGUAAUAUAUUCAGAUCUUCCAAGUGUGAUCAUGUCUCCCAACAUAAGAAACAAAAGCUCCACUGCCUGCUACUUGCUGCCAAAGUCAACUGUGAGAUGCCUAAAAGUGUUUUAAGAAAAUUGCACUUGCCUACCUCAGUGAAUGUUUACCAAUUUAGUCUCAAUGAACUCUCCAUAUGGGUACAAUUUGUAAAGCCCAUUUCUGGUGUCCCCUGCCGUGAUAUUGCUGGAAUAUUGCUAAAAACGGCGUAAAAACCAUACUCAGUCAGUCAGUCAGUCAAUGAACUCUCCAGUCUAAAACAAGUAUGUCUCUUCAUGUUAAAGUUUUUCAGCGAAAGAACAUUUUCAUACACUAUAGUCUCCCUACGAAACAAUCUCCUUGAAAAUCUGAAAUUUGGUCCUAUUUCCUCUUUCAAAUCUCAGCUCAAGACAUUUCUGCUUCAACUUUAUUACACUCGCUGAACCACUCGCACCUUAUAUAGUUUGUGAAGUAUGCGUUUACUGUUAUUGAUAGAUGUAUGUUUAUAUAUGUAUAUAUAUAUGCACUUAUUUAUCAUGCAUUAUGAAAUCAAAUAUACACCUGGAGUAUAAUUAAGCAAUGUCAACAAUGUUUUCCUUUUUGAAAUAAUUUAUUUUUUGAUGAAACGCAUUUAGCUACUCAUAUGGAAAUUCUUAAAUUGAUUUAACGACACAUUUCUUUGUAAUCAUUCAAUGGCAAGAGAUGUUUGACUGCCUGUUCAGCUACAUCUUCCACUGCCGAGUGUUACAAGAUCCUGAUUUAGGGACAACCAUCUGGAGAUGCAUGCAGUGUUCUUUCCAUCAGGUACCUGUGUUAUGUUAGAUGAAUAUCAAAGUAACCUCAGUGUUAUGUGAAGGUAUUUCCAAAACCUACAUGGAGGUUUGAAUUAAAAAAUUUUUAAGGAAGAAACUUAAUUAUACAAGUCUGAUCAAAUACUGUCAUUUUAUCUCCGUGCUGUUAAUGUCCUAAAUGCUUGUUUUCAGUCCAUCAUCUUCAACUACUUCUAGCUUGUUCUGAAAUAUUUCCUUUUCUUGGUGAACAUAAGGACUGAACCUAGACAUACUGAUGUUCCCCUGUACAAACACUGUAUUUUACAUCAAUAUACAAAAACUACAAAACUAUACUAAGCGUGCAUGUGCAGUGGUUUGACAUCCAUAUAACAGUACACUAGAGAGUGCACACACAUUACAUCUGUAUCAAACAAUUAUACUGAAUGGGCAAGCAUUUUACAUCCAUA